rfam:Erinaceus europaeus unplaced genomic scaffold scaffold00147, whole genome shotgun sequence
GCUCAGUUGGUAGAGCAUGAGACUCUAAAUCUCAGGGUCGUGGGUUCGUGCCCCAC